AGAGUUUGAUCCUGGCUCAGAACGAACGCUGGCGGCAGGCUUAACACAUGCAAGUCGAGCGCACUCUUCGGAGUGAGCGGCGGACGGGUUAGUAACGCGUGGGAACGUGCCCUUCUCUAAGGAAUAGCCUCGGGAAACUGAGAGUAAUACCUUAUACGCCCUUCGGGGGAAAGAUUUAUCGGAGAAGGAUCGGCCCGCGUUAGAUUAGAUAGUUGGUGGGGUAAUGGCCUACCAAGUCUACGAUCUAUAGCUGGUUUUAGAGGAUGAUCAGCAACACUGGGACUGAGACACGGCCCAGACUCCUACGGGAGGCAGCAGUGGGGAAUCUUGGACAAUGGGCGCAAGCCUGAUCCAGCCAUGCCGCGUGAGUGAUGAAGGCCUUAGGGUCGUAAAGCUCUUUCGCCAGAGAUGAUAAUGACAGUAUCUGGUAAAGAAACCCCGCUAACU
rnacentral:rRNA from 1 species